GAAAGCGAGCAAUAAAUUGCCAUUUCUGAACCACCAGUUCACACUCUGAAUUGUUUCAUCCCAGAGAAAGAAGGUCUGGACCCAUCUAAAAUGGAGCUCCCAUUUGUGGUGGCCAUUCUCAUGGCCUUUGCAUACUGCACCAAUGCACAGCGUUAUUUUCCUCCAUCCCGUGGGGAUUCAAGC